rnacentral:tRNA from 1 species
GGAGUUGUGGCUUAGUGGUAGAGCGCUUGCUUAGCAUGUUUGAGGCCCUGGGUUCAAUUCUCAGCACCA